UGGGGAAUUUUGGUCAAUGGGGGAAACCCUGAACCAGCAACGCCGCGUGUGGGAUGAAGGCCCUCGGGUCGUAAACCACUGUCAGGAGGGAAGAACCGUACCGAGGCCAAUACCCUCGGUGCCUGACGGUACCUCCAAAGGAAGGACCGGCUAACUCCGUGCCAGCAGCCGCGGUAAUACGGAGGGUCCGAGCGUUGUUCGGAAUUACUGGGCGUAAAGCGCGUGCAGGUGGUUCGGUAAGUCGGAUGUGAAAUCCCCGGGCUCAACCCGGGAACUGCAUCCGAAACUGCCGAGCUAGAGUCCCGGAGAGGAAGGCAGAAUUCCCAAUGUAGGGGUGAAAUCCGUAGAUAUUGGGAGGAAUACCAGUUGCGAAGGCGGCCUUCUGGACGGUGACUGACACUCAGACGCGAAAGCGUGGGGAGCAAACAGGAUUAGAUACCCCGGUAGUCC
rnacentral:rRNA from 1 species